rnacentral:rRNA from 1 species
AUUAAAGAAUUUGGCGGUAUUUUAGUCUAUCCAGAGGAACUUGUUCUGUAAUUGAUAAUCCACGAUUUAAAUUACUUAUUUUAUUAGUUUAUAUAUCGCUGUAGUUAGAAUUUUUUAUGAGAAUUAUAAUAUUCAAGAUUUUAGAUAAAAAAUUAAUUCAAGUCAAGGUGUAGCUUAUAAGUAAGAAGAAAUGAGUUACAAUAAAUUUAUUUAUAUGGAUUAUUAUUUUAAAAAAAAUAUUAAAGUGGAUUUGAAAGUAAUUUUUAUUAGUUUAUAAAAAUGAUUUUAGCUCUAAAAUGUGCACAUAUCGCCCGUCAUUUUCAUUAUAAAAUGGAACAAGUCGUAACAUAGUAGGUGUACUGGAAAGUGUACCUAGAAUGACAAAUUAAAGCUUAUAUAAGUAUUUUAUUUACAUUAAAAAGAUUAUUGUUAAAAUCAAUAUAAUUUGAAUAUUUUUUUUAUUUAAUUUAAUAGUUUAUUUUUAUUUAAAAAAAAUAGUUUUAGGUUUUAUUAUUUUUAUGAAAAAAUUUAUUUUAAUAAUAGAGAAUUAGUAUUGUAAAAGAAAAAUUAUAUUAAUAUUUUAAAGAAUAAUUUAUUUUAGUACCUUGUGGAUCAGGGUUAAUUAAAUAAAUUUUAAUUAUUUUAUUUUUCUCGAAUUUAAAAGAGUUAUAUAAAUAUAUUUUUUAUUGUAAAAUAAAUAUUAAUUAUAUUUAUAUAGAAAUGAAACGUUAUUCGAUUUUAAAUAUAUCUAGUUUUUUAAGAAAAAAAUUUAAUUUUAUUAAUAAGAAUAAUUUUUUAAUUAUUUUUAAUUAAUUAUUAUUAUUAUUAAAUAAUUUAAGGGAUGAGCUUUAAGUUAUAUAAUUAAAAAUUUAUAUAAUUAUAUUUAAAUAAAUAGUAUUAAAAGUUUAUUUUUUUAAAAGUGUGUUAUAACUUAUUUAAGUAUUUUUAAGAUUUAUAUUUAUUUUAAGUUUUUUAUUAAAAUAUUUAUUUUAAUAAAAAUAAUAAAGAAAUAAUGAUUAAAUUAGUAUAAUUUAUUUUAUGAUUAAAUUAAGUUUUAGGUUUAAUAAAGGAAUUCGGCAAAUUAUUUUUCACCUGUUUAAUAAAAACAUGGCCUUUUGAUUAUAAUUUAAGGUCUGACCUGCCCAAUGAUUUAUUUAAAUGGCCGCAGUAUUUUGACUGUGCAAAGGUAGCAUAAUCAUUAGUUUUUUAAUUGAAAGCUGGAAUGAAGGGUUGAAUGAAUAAAUAACUGUCUCUAUUAAAAUUAAUUAAAAUUUUAUUUUUAAGUUAAAAAGCUUAAAUUAUAUUAAAAGACGAGAAGACCCUAUAGAGUUUAAUAAUUUAAUUUAUUUAUGUUUUUAGAAUUUAA